UAAGACGAACCUUGCUAACGUUAUUCGGAAUCACUGGGCUUAAAGGGUGCGUAGGCGGCGCAGCAAGUCGGGUGUGAAAUCCCCCAGCUCAACUGGGGAAUUGCGCCCGAAACUGCUGUGCUAGAGGAAUAUAGAGGUGAGCGGAACUUAGGGUGGAGCGGUGAAAUGCGUUGAUAUCCUAAGGAACACCGGUGGCGAAAGCGGCUCACUGGGUAUUCUCUGACGCUGAGGCACGAAAGCUAGGGGAGCGAACGGGAUUAGAUACCCCGGUAGUCCUAGCCGUAAACUCUGAGCACUUGAUUAAAGGGUCCUCCAUAGCCUUUUAGUCGUAGCGAAAGUGUUAAGUGCUCCGCCUGGGGAGUAUGGUCGCAAGGCUG
rnacentral:rRNA from 1 species